AAAUAUUUUCACUUUUUAUUUAAGAAGCUGUUUUACAGAAAUGUAAGCCACAAUUAAUUACUAAGUAAUUAUUGUUGUAUAGUUCAUGAAAGCACCUUUGCUUGAUAUUGUUAUAUGGCAUUCUGCCAUACAGAAUUCAUGAGUUUUAGUUUGUGUUGUUACAAGGCUUUUGUCAUGGCCAUUUGCUUCUGGCUGGCAGAAUAUUAUGCCUUCAGAGAAAGAGAGGGCAAGAGAGAGAAAAAGGAUAAAAGAAAUAUAAGGUAAACAAGAACUAAAGUGACAGGUAAGCAUAAACUCCUUCUACCAACCCUACUCCGUAAUGUACCUAACCUUGGCCUGGCCCUAGUGCAGGAUGCUCAACUGGGCCCCCUCGGUGGAAGUGGUGCAAAAAAACUUCUGCCCUGUUUCUCUGGCAGAAAAGAAAAAUAAGGAUUGCACACUCUAUUAAAUCAAAAAGAAAAUGUAUUACAUGCUAGUUACACUACAUGGCAACAGCAUGUUGCCCUACGCGUUUCAACCUCAAAAGGUCUUCAUCAGGGGUACAAAAAUAAUAAAAAAAGGCAGAAAGAAUUAUACAUUCAUCUUGGUUAAAUACCUUGUGUAAUGUAAGUCACAUCAUUGGAAAACAGCAUCAGCGCGUGUGAUGUCACUUCAGCUGCCCACAAUGAUCAAUAUAAACCACGUGCAUUAUGAGAACACUUCAAUAACUUCAAUAAUUUCUUCUGGGGGUGGUAUUGAUAAGAAUACCUCACUUUUGAGGAGAGAGGUCAGAAUGGAUUUUCCACCUUGACACUGUAACCCCUAUGGGAUUAAAUGAUAUAUUAAAUCUAUCCUGCUUUUUGCAGACAAGAUAACUCUGAUAUAGUGGCCUAUGCUCAACUUUUGGAAACGCUAUAAGACUCCAGUUACCCCCCUGGGGAUGCUCUCUCCCCCAAAAUGUGCUAUAUAUUCUCUGGAAUUUUCUGUUCAAGAUGAUGGACCAAAGGGGCGAAAUAUGUGGCUAUUUUUGUUAGAAAUAAUUGUUCCUUGUAUUGAUAUUAUAUACACAGUGUUUCUUAUAGUCUAUAUUUAUUCAAUGUCUUAUUAUGGCCCUGUAGUUCCAUUUAUAGGUAGACUUCCGCAUUGUGGAGCGCAUUUGUAUUCCAGAUCAUAUUCCAUAGUGCUAUUUGAUGCCUUUUUUGAAGCGGUAGUGACGUCAUAUGUAUUGUAGCGAUCAUGAUGUGAUCGUUAUUGAACAGACUAUAUCAGUAGAAUUCUAUUUAGGUGCACUAGCAACUUGCUAUUACACCUUUAUAUCUGUUUUGAUAUUUCCCCUCCUUGUGAUGGCCUUUUAGCCCUUCAGAAGUAACCACUUCCGCUCGCUGGAACGCAUUUGCAUUCUGGAAGUGUUCCCAUAAUGCACGUGGUUCAUAUUGAUCAUUGUGGGCAGCGGAAGUGACAUCACACGCGCUGAUGCGCGCUUGUUUUCCAAUGAUGUGAAUUACAUUACACAAUGUAUUUAACCAAGAUGAAUGUAUAAUUCUUUCUACCUUUUUUUAUUAUUUUUGUGCCCCUGAUGAAGACCUUUUGAGGUCGAAACGUGUAGGGCGACAGGCUGUUGCCAUGUGGCCUGCCAUGUAAUAAAUCCUUAUUUUUCUUU